ACCAUUUUAAUGAUUUCUUUAGAAGGGUAAAACAUAACCUGCUUAAUGUGUAUUUCUCAGUGCGUAUAAUAGCAAUAAUUAAGUCUGAGAUGUAGUUAUAUAUAAUUAGUACUUUUUCUGCCCUGUACACAACAGAAUAGGAGAUCAUAAUAGAACGCUAAUUUUAUUUCUCUCCCCAGCAAGUAAAAUGUACGUCUUGUGGAAAUCCUGGUAUGAGACCGUUCUGAAGCGAUCUAGGCUGUUUCAUUUCUGGAGUGACAGCUCUAUUCAAUUGUCGGCAAAUAGCAUUUUGUGUGUCUCUCUGUGGCUUUUUCUUGAAGAUUAGCCGGCGGGGGAUGAAUGAUUUAAAUAGUUCAGACAUUUGAUGACAUUCUCCUCCCCCUCAUUUACUGCUGAGACUUGUCAGGCUGCUGGACUGUCGGACAGAGGGAGAAAAUAAACGACAGAGCAGGGGAGCUUAGGAGCACUUUGGGACAUAACCAAGGACAACAACAUUCAUAACAAUCGGUCCAUUCCGCAGUAGUCUUUUCAAGCACCACAGUUCGAAAGCAUCUACAAUUUUUCUGUCCGGCGUCUUCACUGACCAACUUUUACAGCCAUUUAUGGCCACCAGGAACAUCACGGCUUGAACCAAUCUUUCUAGUACGUUAAAAAGUUUUCCAUAAUAAAAUAUUGGUUGCGCUAUUUACAGGUUAGGCCAUCUAUAGUUGAUUGGCGGGGUACCGACACCCAGCACCCCUGAUGAUCAGGUGUAAUGCACAUCUGCAGCACCCACACUAAACAAUGUAUGGAGCUGGGUUAAUUAGUUAGUUACCACGGCUCCCAUUCACUUUAAUUUGAGCUGUGUUGCUCCCAUUGACCGAAAGCAGAAGCAGAACAGAAAAAUGAACUGAGACCGAUCUCCUCAGUGCUCUGUAUGACAAGGGCUGUGAGUUAUUUAUGAGCCACUGGGCAAUCUUAAGUAAUCUAUCUGGCUUCACCCUAUGAGAUACACACUGGGUGAUUACUGUAUUAGGAACACCUAUUCAAUAAAAGGUUUGCUCACCAUUUCGGUGACCAUGUCCAGCAACCAUUGGGAAAUAGAUUCCAUAAGAUGGAAAACAUCCUCCACUCCAUUCACUCAUCUAGACUCAUGCCCACUUCAGAAGCUCUAGCAGUUGGUGCACAAUUUUUGGAGAAGUGCAAGCAAAUCUCACAGCCUGUUCCAGCAUAUCUCAAACAUGUUCAAUAGGGUUACACUCCAGUAAAAUUUGGGCCAAGGCAGGGCAUAAAUUAAUUGUUCAUUGUUGUCUACUUCCAACCACUAAUUAUUUAAGCCAGAUGACACAAAGCAUGGGACUGUAGAUAAGGAAGACCUCCUGAAGAUAUGGGUGCAGAUGGUCAGCUAUAGCCUUCAACAGAUCCCUAUGGCCUUCACCAUUCAAGGAUUGUGGAAUGACGACUAACAAUACUAGUCAUGCAAAGAAUGUACCCCAGACCAUGACCACCACUGGCCUAUUGAAUCCCAAUUAAGCACGUACCAGAUAUAGCUUCAUGCUGUUUACACUGGAUGCAGACCUGACCAUAUAUGUCACUCCAGGUGACAUUCUAUAUUUGUCCAAAAUAUAUUGACAUCUUUCCUUGGCCCAUGUGACGUUUUCUGCGAUUAUACAGAGUUGACACAACCACCCUUGUCGGUCUUCUGCUAUUAAACUCCAGUCGACACAAGGUACCCCACAUUGUGGAAAUUUGUCUUUCCUUCUGUUGUACUUCUGGAUCAGUUGGUACACUGUAUAGUUGUAACCAACCAAGAUACAGGCCGACAUUUAUCAUUGUCUUUAAACUUUUUUUUUGUGUCUAGAAAAGGCGCAAAAAAGGCGCAAGCAGGGUUUAUUUGCGCAUUUUUUGCGCCUUUUGGUUUACACAUUUCUGCUGAUUUUGAGUUGCAAUACACUGGUUUGGUAAUAUGAUAUGGAAGGGUUUUAUGAACUGCGUCUUUUUGUGAAAAGGCAAAAAAAAGGCGCAAAGCCACUGAAAAGUCUCUAAAACUACACCAGCCCAGCUUAGCUUUUUGGUGUAUGUCAAGAGAGAAAUUUCAGAACAUGUGUACCUGCACAAAAUUUAUCAAAUUCUCUGCUACCUUUUAUUAAAUUUGGCGCUCCUACACAUUAUCAGCAUACAAAAAAAAGGUGUAGAAACAUGCUUCACUUACACCUACAAUGAUAAAUGCCAGCCACAGUUUUUAAAUACACUUUGCCAUUGCAGAAAACACUGUAUACAAUAAUGAUGCAAAUAAAAGUUGUAACAUAGACAG